rnacentral:misc_RNA from 1 species
AACGCACAUUGCGCCCCUUGGUAUUCCGAGGGGCAUGCCUGUUCGAGCGUCAUUAUAACCACUCAAGCCUGGCUUGGUAUUGGGGUUCGCGUGCCCGCGGCCCUUAAAAUCAGUGGCGGUGCCGUCUGGCUCUAAGUGUAGUAAUUUUCUCGCUAUAGAGUCCUGUCGGUUACCUGCCAGAACCCCCCACAUUCUUAGGUUGACCUCGGAUCAGGUAGGGAUACCCGCUGAACUUAA